rnacentral:tRNA from 1 species
GCCCAGAUGGCGGAACUGGUAGACGCGCUAGGUUCAGGUCCUAGUGGCCGCAAGGUCGUGGAGGUUCGAGUCCUCUUCUGGGCACCA